UACCUACGGGGCGCAGCAGUGAGGAAUAUUGGUCAAUGGGCGGAAGCCUGAACCAGCCAAGUCGCGUGAGGGAAGAAGGCCCUGCGGGUCGCAGACCUCUUUGGACGGGGAGCAAGGCCGCCGACGUGUCGGCGGAAGGAGAGUACCCGUAGAACAAGCACCGGCUAACUCCGUGCCAGCAGCCGCGGUAAUACGGAGGAUCCGAGCGUUAUCCGGAUUUAUUGGGUUUAAAGGGAGCGUAGGUGGAUUGUUAAGUCAGUUGUGAAAGUUUGCGGCUCAACCGUAAAAUUGCAGUUGAAACUGGC
rnacentral:rRNA from 1 species